rnacentral:rRNA from 1 species
UACAGAGGAGCCAAGCGUUGUCCGGAUUGACUGGGCGUAAAGCGCACGCAGGCGGUUCGUUAAGUUCGUUGUGAAAGCCCCGGGCUCAACCUGGGAACUGCAAUGGAAACUGGCGGGCUUGAGUGUGGCAGAGGGGGGUGGAAUUCCGCGUGUAGCAGUGAAAUGCGUAGAGAUGCGGAGGAACACCGAUGGCGAAGGCAGCCCCCUGGGCCAACACUGACGCUCAGGCACGAAAGCGUGGGGAGCAAACAGG